rnacentral:rRNA from 1 species
UACGGGGGGGGUAAGCGUUGUUCGGAAUUACUGGGCGUAAAGGGCUCGUAGGCGGCCAACUAAGUCAUACGUGAAAUCCCUCAGCUUAACUGGGGAACUGCGUGUGAUACUGGAUGGCUUGGAUUUGGGAGAGGGAUGCGGAAUUCCAGGUGUAGCGGUGAAAUGCGUAGAUAUCUGGAGGAACACCGGAUGGCGAAGGCGCAAUCCCUGGACCAUGUGACGC